GGUUCCAUAGUGUAACAGUUAUCAUGUCUGCUUUACACACUGAAGGUCCUGGGUUCAAACUCCAGUGGAACCA
rfam:Gorilla gorilla gorilla genomic chromosome, chr2A, whole genome shotgun sequence